GUCGUCGCUAUCCAGGUCAUGGAAAAGGGGCUCGGCACCUGAAAUGGAGACAAAACACUGGCAUGAGAGUCUUGAAGAGGUGACUCAUUUCAGUGCUAGGAUAUUCAGCUGAAUUCAACAAGUGUUGCCUGAGCACAGGCUCCAGGUGAAACUUUCUACAGAAAGUCUAUAUUCUCUUUAGGGGACUCGUGUCCAAAGUGCAACAAGUGAAAACAAUCUAAACCAGGAUAUGACAAAGUGCUAAAUUGAGUGCAGCAUAAGCAAAUGUCACAAUGUCUAGACAGGGAGUGUGGGGAGUAGGCAGGACAUGUCACCAGAGGCUGGAGAGACAGGGCAGAGCUCCCAUAGGACUUGGGCCUGAAAAAUGAUGCUUGAAGGAGGGAUGGUAAAACCAACAAACAAAAAACAAAACAAAAAAAAGCUCUUUGAGUGAAGCUAAUGAAAACUCCUGUGAUAACAUUUGUUCUUUCAAACACCAAGGGUCUACUAUCAGCUGUUACCCCAAAUUUGUAAUGCAAAGAAAAGGAAGGUUAGGUGCCUGCCUUCAACUAAUUUACACCUUUGAUAGGGAAGCCAGUAGGGCACACAGUGGAACAGCUGAGAAAUCACUGCAACCAGGACCUGGAGGCAAAGAAUGUUCUGCCUCCGCUUCAGGUAAACGUUUGCUUAAUUAAGGCCUUCUGUAGCACUGAUACUGCUGAUAUCUGGCAUGAAGCGCGAGACUUGCAGAAUUCAAUGACAACAAACAGGUCUACAAGGAGAGCACAACUUCCCAUUUAAAACCAACAAACAAGAAGCUUUGAAAACAAGAUAAAUGGAAGUGUCACUAAUGAAUAUGCAUGAAGGUCUUUCUCCUGUAGUCAUUGGUUAGGCGAUUCUGGCAGUAUUUUGUAGGGCACAUUAUUCUGCUUUGGAGCUUCGGUGAGCAUCUGGGAACUGCCUAGAUGUGUUUAGGAGGGAAUGAGAAACCCACACAAGUUAUGAGAGGGCCCGGGGGGCUUGAGUCCCUCUUACCAUAAGGGUGCAUGUGGUCUCCAGGCAUCUGGGGUGGGGUGAGACCCUGUCGGAAGGGAUCUGAGCUGUAGACACUCUGCUCGAUGGCCAGGAGCUGCUGUGGGGUGGGCAGAGCCGUGUAGGGGUUCAUGAUUCCUUCCAUCCCAGCACUCCCACCACCGUUUGUCUGAGCUGUGGAACAAAGAAGCAGCCAGGUCAUUCUCAAUGUGCAGCCUGGCAUGUGAUUUCCCUGGGUCCUGAUUCCCUCAUUUAUAAAAUAAAAUGGGAUGAGGUGACAUCAGUGGUCCCAGUCUUUGUCCUACCAGAGGCCAUCAGGAAUCACCUUGGAGGAUAGGAAUAGGGUAGGGGCUGGGAUGUUGAACUUUGAGAACAUCCUUGAAAUAUAUUAUUUCAACAAAAGGUUUUGAUGCUAGCCACAUGUUUGGCAGUCACUAGAAUAGAUGUAUCUAAAGAUCUUUCUACGAUAACCCAGUAUGAGCCCAUCAGUCAAGUGGGAGUUGUGACCAGUUGACCUCACUGGGCUGAUGGGAAGAUUCCAUAGGACUGUGUAUGCUUUGGAAUUAUAUCUUGCUAUGCUUGUAGAUAGAAUUUUAUAAGAAAAGCAGGAUUCACUUCCUGCCUCCACAUCUUGCUGAGGUUCUCUGAACCUGGGAAGAACAGAGACCAUUUCCCACCAGCCUCUGCUUUCUUAAGUCUACAUUUGGAGUGCCUUUAGAAUUAUUUAAACUAAGUUCCAAGCCAUAUGAGUUUGUGUUCUCAUAUGCUUUGAUGCAUUCUUCUCCCUUUGAACUGCACAGGGGUCCUGUGAAGUAGGACUAGCAGGCAUUAGGGCCCUACCCUAGGGAUGCACACAGCCUGAGGAACAAGGAAAUGUAGGUCCCACAUAAAGAGCCUUAGGGGUGGAGCUGUGGGCAGAAUUCAGAUCUAACCAGCUUCCUGCUCCACCCUUCCCCACACCUAUGCCCUGUUUUAUUUCUUCUCUCCCUAACAUCUACCUUGUUGUUAACAUACUGUUUAGUCUAGAAGGUAAGAAACUAAGGGAACUCUUGGCUGCAAGAGUCAAAUUCUGGAUUAAGCCUAGACCCGGUGUCAAGCACAAGGCAGGGUCCAUGUGAGGAUAAGAGUCUCUGUUGAGGAGCCUGAGAAAUAGGAUCACAUUCCACAGACUUCAAAGUGUGGCCCACAGACUUCAAAGUGUGGUCCACAGACUAGCAGCAAUGGCACCACUAAAAAGCUUGUUAAAAAGGCAGAAUCUUGGGGCCCACCCAGACCUUCCUUAUGAAUUCGAAUCUGCACCUUACCAAAAUCCCAGGUGACCUACAUGCAUAUUAAAAUGUAAGAAGUCCUGUUUUAAGGUACAGACCAUUCAAGGAAUUCUGGAUAGCUGAGUUGGGUGGCGAGGGGCAGAGCCUUUAAGGAUGACAUUGUUCUAAUAUAGUAAUUCUUCUUUUUUUUUUCUUUUAACUUCCAUGAAGUCUCCCACAGUCUGUCCCUCUUCACCCUCCUCCCUAAUCCUCAUAUCACCCUGACUUUUUCAAAAGUACAUCUGGGUAAAGAUGAGAAGGCCCAUGGCCUGUGGAACACAGUUAGAGUUCUAGUCCCAGCCCCCGCCCUUACUGAUCUAGGGCCACAUUCAAUCUUGCAGAACCUUUGUUUGCUCAUCUGUGACACGGGGAUAAUAACAACUUCUCCACUCACCUCCAGGAAGGGGUGUUGUAAAAGUCAAGUCAGCAUGUAUGAGAACACCAAUCUAUAAAAGUGUUCAACAAAGGAGAACAUUGUUAUUUCACUAUCAUUAUUUUUACUACUUUACGUUAUUUUGGAAAGAGGCAAGUCACCGAGGUGUCUUCUAUUAAAUCGAUUAGCCUGGAAGGAGAACUAAGCAAGAUGAGAAACUGAACGUAUCUGUGACUCUGCAAGUAGUCCUGACACAUUCUCCCUGACAUUGUGGUGGGAUCCAGGCCCAGACGCUGUGGAUAAGGGCUGCUGUGGCCAAAAUAAUUAUUGAUAACAGAAUUUUUGAACCAAGAGAACUACUCUAUCCAAUGAGCUAAGGCAAGAAAACCUGGCAGCAAGUACAAUGUCCUACUGUGAUUAUUUCAGGAAAUCAGCAACACGGGGACAGAUAAAAGUAAGAAGCAGGUUACCUUCGCUCUCUGGUUUUGGAACCACACCUGGACGACACGGACACUCAGCCCUGUCUCUGCAGCCAGAGUUUCUCUCACCUUGGAAAAAUUGAACAUGAGAAGUGUAGACACACUGGCAUCUCAGGGUAGGAGAUAGAACAUCUCCUAUAUCAUACAUGAGGAAGCCAAAAGACUGUAUCUGCUUUAGGAGCUGGAUAGUUUUUAAUGUUGAGCAUAAACACAAACACGAGAACAUUGCUUCCGUUCAGGUAGAAAGAAAGUCCUUCACCAGGUAAAGAAACAAAAGAAUAAUUAUUAAUUUA